rnacentral:rRNA from 1 species
UACGAAGGGGGCGAGCGUUGUUCGGAAUUACUGGGCGUAAAGGGCGCGUAGGCGGCCGAUCAAGUCAGGCGUGAAAGCCCUGGGCUCAACCCGGGAAUUGCGCUUGAUACUGGAGCGCUUGAAUCCAGGAGAGGUUGGUGGAAUUCCCAGUGUAGAGGUGAAAUUCGUAGAGAUUGGGGAAGAACACCGGUGGCGAAGGCGGCCAACUGGACUGGUAUUGACGC